UGCUCCUACGGGGGGCAGCAGUGGGGAAUAUUGGGCAAUGGGCGCAAGCCUGACCCAGCAACGCCGCGUGGGUGAAGAAGCGCCUCGGCGCGUAAAGCCCUGUCAGCAGGGAAGAAAAUGACGGUACCUGAAGAAGAAGCCCCGGCUAACUACGUGCCAGCAGCCGCGGUAAUACGUAGGGGGCAAGCGUUAUCCGGAUUUACUGGGUGUAAAGGGGGCGCAGACGGCGAUGCAAGCCAGGAGUGAAAGCCCGGGGCCCAACCCCG
rnacentral:rRNA from 1 species